rnacentral:rRNA from 1 species
CGGACGGCUGAGUAACGCGUGAGAACAUACCCUAAAGUGAGGGAUAACUACUCGAAAGAGUGGCUAAUACCGCAUGUGAUCUUUGGAUUAAAGCAUUUAUGCGCUUUAGGAAUGGCUUGCGUACGAUUAGAUAGUUGGUGAGGUAAAGGCUCACCAAGUCGACGAUCGUUAGAUGGUUUGAGAGGAUGAUCAUCCAGACUGGGACUGAGACACGGCCCAGACUCCUACGGGAGGCAGCAG